UACAUGGGGUGCAAACGUUGCUCGGAAUUAUUGGGCGUAAAGCGCACGUAGGCGGUUUGUUAAGUCGGAUGUGAAAUCCCUCGGCUCAACUGAGGAAGUGCAUCCGAAACUGGCAAGCUUGAGUACGAAAGAGGGUCGCGGAAUUCCCGGUGUAGAGGUGAAAUUCGUAGAUAUCGGGAGGAACACCAGUGGCGAAGGCGGCUACCUGGCACAUAACUGACGCUGAUACGCGAAAGCGUGGGGAGCGAACCGG
rnacentral:rRNA from 1 species